GGGCUGAGAGGGGUAUAGUCUGCCUCCCCACCCACGGCUGGUGGAACCUGAGGGCCCCCGGCGCCACCAGAGCUUCGUGGCUUAAUGGGGGAGGCGAGGAGCCACUGCGGACCUGCUCGGGACAGUGAAGGGCGCCAGUCUCAGCCCUCAUCUGAAACCUGCUCCGUGACCCUGGACUAGUUCCUGCUCCUCUCUGGACCAAAUCCUGGCCCUGCUCCUUUCUGGCUGAGUAACUUUGGGCAAAGCUGUGCCCUGAAACCCUCUGCCCUGCUGAAGAAUGGAGAGGACUCCCCCACCAGCACCUCCACCUAGGACACAUGGGAACUGUGGGACUUGGAGCAAAGUUUUCAAGUCUCUGUGCCUUAGUUUCCUCACCUGUAAGUUGGGGGAAUGAUAGUAACUGCUCUUAAGAGCUGCUGUAGGAAUUGAGAUCUUGCAUGAAAAAGGAUAAAACCAAUUGAUAUGGUUUAGUUCUUAGUCCCCACCCAAAUCUCAUGUCCAGUUAUGAUCCUCAGUGUAGGAGGAGGGACCUCGUGGGAGGUGAUUGGAUCGUGGGGGCAGUUUCUAAUGUUUUAGCACCAUCCUCCUAGUGCUGCUUGUUUAAAAGUGUGUAGCACCCCACCUUCCUCUCCUGCCGGCCAUGUGAAGACGUGCUUGCUUCCCUUUCACCAUCUGCCAUGAUUGUAAGUUUCCUGAGGUCUCCCCAGAAGCAGAAGCCUGUAUAGCCCACAGAAUCAUGAGCUGAUUAAACCUCUUUUCU
rnacentral:lncRNA from 1 species